rnacentral:lncRNA from 1 species
ACCCAAGUAAGAACAGGAAAUGUUAUGGUCAUAUAACGUAGAAAUCUGAAAAUUGAAUGAUAAGAAUGAUUAUUACAUAAGAAUAUAUAAUCUGGAACUGACAAAAUCAUAUCCAGCAGUACACUCCACUAAACCCACUGAUCAACAUAUUACACAAUCAGAAACAAAAUAAAUUAUCUUGCCAUCAGAUCUCUAGCUUAAGCAAUUGGCGAUCCUAUCCAAAUUAUCCAGGUGUACAUAAGCUCUAGUAAAAUCAGAUCCGACGUUCUAGUUGCACAGUUAGCUUAGCCCCAUAAAAUAAAGAUGAAACAAGCACAACCUUCGUAAAGCCACAAAACAGAAAGUACCAAAUAGUAGGACGGGCACCAAAACGUUUGUUGCAAAUUUCUGCAAACAAGUAGGAAAAGCAGUAAAGGGAUUUAACAUAUACAUUAAAAAAAUUGUGAUAUAAAGUUAGAAAAAUGAGGAGGAUGAGGAAGAAAGAGAAAGCGAGAUUGAACAAUAUCUGGAACUGACGGGUGUCUCAGAAAUAUCGUAUCGGUAUUGCACAUAUAUACAUAUCAUAAGGAGAAUCAAAUCUCAAUCAGAAGAUUCCGAGACAAAUAGGUUGAACAUCCGGUCGUAUAUGGUUGUAUAUGCAUAUCAAAAGGAAGAAACUUUAACAGACACUCUUGCUUAGAAUCAUCAGCCAAAACAUCUUAUACCGACCUUGUCAGAGGAACAGAACAACACAAUUAUGACGAGGAGAGAACAUACUCGUAUUCAAAGCGCUUUCUUCUACAAAGAAUCAUAUUCAAGGUUGAGCGAAAAUCAAAUCAGCCGAUUACCAAACCCUAGCAAGAUAAAACACAAUCCAAACGCAAAAACCACUUGUUGAUGAAUAACCGAACAUCAUACCUAAUACCACGCCGGAUCAAAAUCACCAAAAGAAAACCAAUUCAGAAUCACAAUCAAACGACCGGCGAAGAAUCCACGACGCUCCGAUUGUCAGACCGGCAAAAUAACCCAGAUAAAUCAAAUCAGGACCCUACAAUCAGACGGUAUCGCGAAAGAGAAAAAAAAAACAUGGGACGGAUAAUCGCCGCUGAUUGAAUUGAAUUGCGCAGGUUUCAUAGCGACGAAAAUACAUAUACAAUCUGAAAAACGGAAACGACAAAUAAACAUCCGCAGAGAACCAAAGGCAAUCAAAC